rnacentral:rRNA from 1 species
CCUACGGGUGGCAGCAGUGGGGAAUAUUGCACAAUGGGGGGAACCCUGAUGCAGCGACGCCGCGUGAGUGAAGAAGUAUUUCGGUAUGUAAAGCUCUAUCAGCAGGGAAGAAAAUGACGGUACCUGACUAAGAAGCCCCGGCUAACUACGUGCCAGCAGCCGCGGUAAUACGUAGGGGGCAAGCGUUAUCCGGAUUUACUGGGUUUAAAGGGAGCGUAGACGGCAUGGCAAGUCUGAAGUGAAAGCCCGGGGCUCAACCGCGGGACUGCUUUGGAAACUGUUAAGCGGGAGUGCAGGAGAGGUAAGUGGAAUUCCUAGUGUAGCGGUGAAAUGCGUAGAUAUUAGGAGGAACACCAGUGGCGAAGGCGGCUUACUGGACUGUAACUGACGUUGAGGCUCGAAAGCGUGGGGAGCAAACAGGAUUAGAUACCCCAGUAGUC